rnacentral:rRNA from 1 species
AGAGUUUGAUCCUGGCUCAGAACGAACGCUGGCGGCAUGCCUAACACAUGCAAGUCGAACGAGACCUUCGGGUCUAGUGGCGCACGGGUGCGUAACGCGUGGGAAUCUACCCUUGGGUUCGGAAUAACUCAGAGAAAUUUGAGCUAAUACCGGAUGAUGUCGCAAGACCAAAGAUUUAUCGCCCAAGGAUGAGCCCGCGUAGGAUUAGCUUGUUGGUGAGGUAAAAGCUCACCAAGGCGACGAUCCUUAGCUGGUCUGAGAGGAUGAUCAGCCACACUGGGACUGAGACACGGCCCAGACUCCUACGGGAGGCAGCAGUGGGGAAUAUUGGACAAUGGGCGAAAGCCUGAUCCAGCAAUGCCGCGUGAGUGAUGAAGGCCUUAGGGUUGUAAAGCUCUUUACCCGGGAUGAUAAUGACAGUACCGGGAGAAUAAGCCCCGGCUAACUCCGUG